rnacentral:rRNA from 1 species
AAAACAGCCCUACGGGAGGCAGCAGUGGGGAAUAUUGGGCAAUGGAGGAAACUCUGACCCAGCCAUGCCGCGUGAAUGAUGAAGGCUUUAGGGUUGUAAAGUUCUUUCACCGAUGAAGAUAAUGACGGUAGUCGGAGAAGAAGCCCCGGCUAACUUCGUGCCAGCAGCCGCGGUAAUACGAAGGGGGCUAGCGUUGUUCGGAAUUACUGGGCGUAAAGCGAGCGUAGGUUGCUCGACAAGUCAGUGGUGAAAGCCCAGAGCUUAACUCUGGAACUGCCAUUGAAACUGUCGAGCUGGAAUCUCAGAGGGGGUAGCGGAAUUCCAAAUGUAGGGGUGAAAU